GAUGAACGCUGGCGGCGUGCUUAACACAUGCAAGUCGAACGGAAAGGCUCCUGCUUGCAGGGGUACUCGAGUGGCGAACGGGUGAGUAACACGUGGGUGAUCUGCCCUGCACUUCGGGAUAAGCCUGGGAAACUGGGUCUAAUACCGGAUAGGACGAUGGUUUGGAUGCCAUUGUGGAAAGUUUUUCGGUGUGGGAUGAGCUCGCGGCCUAUCAGCUUGUUGGUGGGGUAAUGGCCUACCAAGGCGUCGACGGGUAGCCGGCCUGAGAGGGUGUACGGCCACAUUGGGACUGAGAUACGGCCCAGACUCCUACGGGAGGCAGCAGUGGGGAAUAUUGCACAAUGGGCGCAAGCCUGAUGCAGCGACGCCGCGUGGGGGAUGACGGCCUUCGGGUUGUAAACUACUUUCGCUAGGGACGAAGCGCGAGUGACGGUACCUGGAGAAGAAGCACCGGCUAACUACGUG
rnacentral:rRNA from 1 species